UGUCCCCUGCGGAGUGCGUGAUAGACAGUAAUUUUUUGAGCCAACACUCAAAAUAAGGGAACCGAAAGCGGUUGUGGUGUGCAUGCCCACCAUGAAGUGGGAAGCCUAAAGCAGCAGCAAGGAGCCCACCUGGGAAACCAGGUUCAAAAGAUCUGUCCACACGGCUCAACGCGGGGGACCC
rnacentral:other from 1 species